GAUGAACGCUAGCUACAGGCUUAACACAUGUAAGUCGAGGGGAAACGACAUCGAAAGCUUGCUUUUGAUGGGCGUCGACCGGCGCACGGGUGAGUAACGCGUAUCCAACCUGCCCAUCACUUGGGAAUAACCUUGCGAAAGUAAGACUAAUACCCAAUGACAUCCCACGAAGACAUCUGAAUGGGAUUAAAGAUUUAUCGGUGAUGGAUGGGGAUGCGUCUGAUUAGCUUGUUGGCGGGGUAACGGCCCACCAAGGCAACGAUCAGUAGGGGUUCUGAGAGGAAGGUCCCCCACAUUGGAACUGAGACACGGUCCAAACUCCUACGGGAGGCAGCAGUGAGGAAUAUUGGUCAAUGGGCGAGAGCCUGAACCAGCCAAGUAGCGUGCAGGAUGACGGCCCUAUGGGUUGUAAACUGCUUUUAUAAGGGAAUAAAGUGGGUCUCGUGAGACUUUUUGCAUGUACCUUAUGAAUAAGGACCGGCUAAUUCCGUG
rnacentral:rRNA from 1 species